rnacentral:piRNA from 1 species
UUCAAAACUUUAUGAAAAUGG